CCUACGGGAGGCAGCAGUGGGGAAUCUUGCGCAAUGGGCGAAAGCCUGACGCAGCCAUGCCGCGUGAAUGAUGAAGGUCUUAGGAUUGUAAAAUUCUUUCACCGGGGGACGAUAAUGACGGUACCCGGAGAAGAAGCCCCGGCUAACUUCGUGCCAGCAGCCGCGGUAAUACGAAGGGGGCUAGCGUUGCUCGGAAUUACUGGGCGUAAAGGGAGCGUAGGCGGAUAGUUUAGUCAGAGGUGAAAGCCCAGGGCUCAACCUUGGAAUUGCCUUUGAUACUGGCUAUCUUGAGUAUGGGAGAGGUUAGCGGAACUCCGAGUGUAGAGGUGAAAUUCGUAGAUAUUCGGAAGAACACCAGUGGCGAAGGCGGCUAACUGGCCCAUUACUGACGCUGAGGCUCGAAAGCGUGGGGAGCAAACAGGAUUAGAUACCCUGGUAGUCCACGCCGUAAACGAUGAGUGCUAGUUGUCGGCAUGCAUGCAUGUCGGUGACGCGAGCUACGACAUAAGACACUCCGCCGUCGGGAGGUACGGUCGCGAGAUAAACUACAAGAAGUAGACGCGNGAGAGNGCGACGACGACGACGAGGGAGAG
rnacentral:rRNA from 1 species